AAACAAGGACAUCUGCUGCUCACAAGAUGGCACUUGAAAGUUAUUUGGAGACAAUAAAAGACAUGAGGCUGCAAGGAAGCACGUAUGAGGAAAUUUCUUCUACCCUCGUCUCCAUGGGCUUGGAAAAGGGUGGUAUAAAAAAAUUCUGUCUCAGAUACAAUCUAAAGCAGAAAGAAGUAGUGUCCAACACUUAAGAUAAAGGGUAUAUAUAUAACACGCAAAAUUGACCUACAUUUACGUGUUGCAGCUGCACUACGUGUUGUCCAGCCGCCAUACCACUGGGCACGCACUCAAGGAUUAAGAAACCUGAAUCCUGUGCCCUACCAUGCGGCAUACAUGGGUCAAAAAAUGCACAUUGACCAGAACGAGAAGAUGGUCAUGUUUGGUGUGACAUGGUACAGUCACAUCAAACACAGUGGUACAGUGGUAAACUGGUUGACCACUCCACCAUGCCAAUUAUAAAUAACCUCACCAUAUAUGAUGAAGUUUACAAGACUGCAGUUCUCAGCUAUGGACUAUGGGAUCAAGUCAGAGUCGACCAUGGUUGAGAAUUUCUCUUGUCUCUCUUUGUACAAGACAAGCUGUCUGGGUACAGACUGGACCAAGAAAGAAAGGCCACCAUAUUUACAGACACAGUCAACAAAGAACAACAGAAUUGAACGUGUGUGGCCUGAGGUCAACAACCGUGUGACUUAUCCUCUAAAGUCAGCAAUCAUCAAUCUAGUGAAUCAGGAGAGGCUAAACAUGGAGGACAACACUGUGCGUUUCUGCUUGUCAAACUUGUCAUGUCAGAUUGCCAAUACUGGACUUCAGCGUUUUGUUGACGCAUGGAAUAGCCAUACAGUUUCAGGUAGAGGCAUUCCAAAUGUCUUGGCAGAAGGUGGCUGCAGGGUGAAGCUCACUGCGGAUCAGCUUCCAACUGCAAGUCAGGCUGCUGACUUGUAUGACCAAGAAAAUCACGCCAGCCUAACAAGAACAUCAGUCUUUGGUAGAGAACCCCUUUGUGGAUGCCACGGAACGUCUUCAGGCUGAGAGGCGCUUCGCUGAGGCGCAUCCAGACAUCACAGUCCUGCUUGACGAGACAGUGAACCACAAUUUUGGGCCCUUCCAAAAUGCAUUAAUGCACUUGGUUACAAUACAACAACAGUACAACAGUAAUGCUCACCAGGUUUCACACAUAAGUAGGCCGCCACACUGAGAGCUACAGGCUGCAUUCAAAAUAUUUACUCUGCUUAACAAACAAAAGUAUUUUACACUGGCAAAAACGGCAAAGGAAAAUAAAAAGUUUACAACUCCACAGAUUUGUUUUGGAAGAGUUUUGACACAUAACAGUAGAGUAGUUUUUAGCAGCUAUAGUGCCAUAGUAAGAGAAGCUGGAAGGCAGGUGAAGUUCUGCACACCCUUCAGUCUCAGUGAUUAGCUUCCUCUGGUCGCAGUGCCAGCCUUCUCUUUGAUAUAAACAUAAGUCAAAAGGUCAAACCCUUAUUGCCUGUUGGCGCCACAGAAGGACUCUUACACAGAAGGGGGCAGAGUGACCUCUGCUGGUUGAGCUACCACAUAGCAAG